rnacentral:rRNA from 1 species
GACGAACGCUGGCGGCGUGCCUAAUACAUGCAAGUCGAGCGCAGGAAACUGACGGAACUCUUCGGAGGGAAGGCAGUGGAAUGAGCGGCGGACGGGUGAGUAACACGUAAGGAACCUGCCUCAAGGAUUGGGAUAACUCCGAGAAAUCGGAGCUAAUACCGGAUAGUUCAUCGGACCGCAUGGUCCGUUGAUGAAAGGCGCUUCGGCGUCACCUUGAGAUGGCCUUGCGAUGCAUUAGCUAGUUGGUGGGGUAACGGCCCACCAAGGCGGCGAUGCAUAGCCGACCUGAGAGGGUGAUCGGCCACACUGGGACUGAGACACGGCCCAGACUCCUACGGGAGGCAGCAGUAGGGAAUCUUCCACAAUGGACGAAAGUCUGAUGGAGCAACGCCGCGUGAGUGAUGAAGGUUUUCGGAUCGUAAAACUCUGUUGUAAGGGAAGAACACGUACGAGAGGAAAUGCUCGUACCUUGACGGUACCUUACGAGAAAGCCACGGCUAACUACGUGCCAGCAGCCGCCGUAAUAC